CAGCAUAAACCUUUUGCUAGUUGCCAAAUCCUUUGAGUGAGCAAAAAUGUGGCUAAACAUUGUGUCCUUAUUGAUAAUCCUCAAAGGAGUCCAGUCUCAAGUCCAGUUGGUGGAGUCUGGAGGAGAUCUGCAAAGACCUGGAGGGUCCCUCCGUCUCUCCUGCCAAGCCUCUGGAUUCCCUUUCAGCAGCUUUAGCAUGAGCUGGGGGAGACAGUUUCCAGAGAAAGGACUGGAAUGGGUUGCACACAUGGGUUCAUCUAUCACUUACUACUCAGACAAAGUGAAGGGACGCUUCACCAUCUCCAGGGAUGAUGCCAAAAGCCAGCUGUAUCUGCAAAUGAGCAGCCUCACAGUUGAAGACACAGCCGUCUAUUACUGUGCAAGAGGCACAGUGAGAAGAAGUGAAUCUGAAGCCAAACAAGAACCUUCUUUUCUUCAGAGCAGUUCUUCAACUUGACUGAGUCCCAGAUCCUGGAUUAGUCAAUGAAGAUUGAUUGAUUUCCAAUGAGAACUUCACGAUGUUUUAUUCUGGGUUUCAAAAAGUGUGUUGUAAGAAAACAAAAGAAAACAAAACAAAAAAUCCAAGUACCCUGUCCCUAUUUACAAGAUGAUUUGGCUUCAUUGGAAGGGAAUGUAGUCUUUUAGUAUCAUGGUGAAAGGAUGGAAAUGGAACUUUAGGAUAAUCCUAUAUAAAAAUCAAGACAGCAUACUAAAAAGCAGAGACAUCACUCUGCCAACAAAAGUGUGUAUA